UACAGAGGUCUCGAGCGUUAGGCGGAAUCACUGGGCUUAAAGCGUGUGUAGGCGGAUCGGUAAGUACCUUGUGAAAUCCCACAGCUUAACUGUGGAACUGCUUGGUAUACUGCCAGUCUUGAGCCACUUAGGGGCUACCGGAACAAAUGGUGGAGCGGUGAAAUGCGUAGAUAUCAUUUGGAACGCCAAUGGUGAAAACAGGUAACUGGGAGUGUGCUGACGCUGAGACACGAAAGCCAGGGGAGCGAACGGG
rnacentral:rRNA from 1 species